rnacentral:rRNA from 1 species
AGACGUAGGGGGCAAGCGUUGUCCGGAAUUACUGGGCGUAAAGAGUAUGUAGGCGGAUAUUUAAGUCAGAUGUGAAAUUCCCGGGCUUAACCUGGGAGCUGCAUUUGAUACUGGAUAUCUAGAGUGCGGGAGAGGAAAGUGGAAUUCCUAGUGUAGCGGUGAAAUGCGUAGAGAUUAGGAAGAACACCAGUGGCGAAGGCGACUUACUGGACUGAAGCUGACGCUGAGGCUCGAAAGCGUGGGGAGC